rnacentral:misc_RNA from 1 species
GAUGAAGAACGUAGCGAAAUGCGAUACGUAAUGUGAAUUGCAGAAUUCAGUGAAUCAUCGAAUCUUUGAACGCAUAUUGCGCUCUCUGGUAUUCCGGAGAGCAUGCUUGUUUGAGUAUCAGUAAACACCUCAACUCCCUUUUCUUUUUUGAAAUUGGAGCUGGACUUGAGUGAUCCCAACGCUUUCUUCCAAGAAGGUGGCGGGUUGCUUGAAAUGCAGGUGCAGCUGAACUUUUCUCUGAGCUAUAAGCAUAUCUAUUUAGUCUGCCUAAAAAACAGAUUAUUACCUUUGCUGCAGCUAACAUAAAGGAGACUAGUUCUUGUGCUGACUGAUGCAGGAUUCACAGAGACAGCUUCGGCUGACUUUGUAAACUCGAUCUCAAAUCAAGUAAGACUACCCGCUGAACUUAAGCAUAUCAAUAAGCGGAGGA